UGAGCUGAGGUUAGUAGUAGAACACCUGCCUAGCAUGCAGGAGGCCCUGGGUUCCAACCCCAGCACCUAAA
rnacentral:tRNA from 1 species